rnacentral:rRNA from 1 species
GACGAACGCUGGCGGCGUGCUUAACACAUGCAAGUCGAACGGAAAGGCCCUGCUUUUGUGGGGUGCUCGAGUGGCGAACGGGUGAGUAACACGUGAGUAACCUGCCCUUGACUUUGGGAUAACUUCAGGAAACUGGGGCUAAUACCGGAUAGGAGCUCCUGCUGCAUGGUGGGGGUUGGAAAGUUUCGGCGGUUGGGGAUGGACUCGCGGCUUACCAGCUUGUUAGUGGGGUAGUGGCUUACCAAGGCUUUGACGGGUAGCCGGCCUGAGAGGGUGACCGGCCACAUUGGGACUGAGAUACGGCCCAGACUCCUACGGGAGGCAGCAGUGGGGAAUAUUGCACAAUGGGCGGAAGCCUGAUGCAGCAACGCCGCGUGCGGGAUGGCGGCCUUCGGGUUGUAAACCGCUUUCGCCUGUGACGAAGCGUGAGUGACGGUAAUGGGUAAAGAAGCACCGGCUAACUACGUG